rnacentral:misc_RNA from 1 species
GGAAGACAUCGCGGAGGAGAAGUUGCAGGCGGUUGCUGAGGUACUCAGGAGGUCUCCCUCUCUCAAGGUCUCCGAAGACGGGAAGAAAAUCGGUCGUAGUAGCGAGCUGCUAAAGCCGGAAGAGGUUUUAGAGCAAGUUGAUUCGAGAACAGUUGCAGUCUCCCCUCUGCCACAUGAUGUUAAGAUUGAAGACCUGGAAUCUUUCUUUGGUCAACACGGGAAGGUUAAUAGCGUGAGACUGCCACG